AAAACUGAAACAAGUUCAGUAGGAUGAAAUUUCAUAAGGACAAGUGCAAAGUACUUUACUUAGGAAGGAACAAUCAGAUGCACACGGACGAAGCUGGAAAUGACUG